rnacentral:rRNA from 1 species
AUUGAACGCUGGCGGCAGGCCUAACACAUGCAAGUCGAGCGAGAGGCGGACGGGUGAGUAAUGUCUGGGAAACUGCCUGAUGGAGGGGGAUAACUACUGGAAACGGUAGCUCAUACCGCAUACCCUCAGAUGUGCCCAGAUGGGAUUAGCUAGUAGGUGGGGUAAUGGCGCACCUAGGCGACGAUACCUAGCUGGUCGGAGAGGAUGACCAGCAACAUGGGAACUGAGACACGGUCCAGAUUCCUACGGGGGGCAGCAGUGGGAAAUAUUGCACAAUGGGGGCAAGCCUGAUGCAGCCAUGCCGGGUGUGUGAAGAAGGCCUUCGGGUGGUAAAGCACUUUCAGCGGGGAGGCGUUACCCGCAGAAGAAGCACCGGCUAACUCCGUGCCAGCAGCCGCGGUAAUAC